GACGAACGCUGGCGGCGUGCUUAACACAUGCAAGUCGAACGGAAAGGCCCUGCUUUUGUGGGGUGCUCGAGUGGCGAACGGGUGAGUAACACGUGAGUAACCUGCCCUUGACUUUGGGAUAACUUCAGGAAACUGGGGCUAAUACCGGAUAGGAGCUCCUGCUGCAUGGUGGGGGUUGGAAAGUUUCGGCGGUUGGGGAUGGACUCGCGGCUUAUCAGCUUGUUGGUGGGGUAGUGGCUUACCAAGGCUUUGACGGGUAGCCGGCCUGAGAGGGUGACCGGCCACAUUGGGACUGAGAGACGGCCCAGACUCCUACGGGAGGCAGCAGUGGGGAAUAUUGCACAAUGGGCGGAAGCCUGAUGCAGCAACGCCGCGUGCGGGAUGACGGCCUUCGGAUUGUAAACCGCUUUCGCCUGUGACGAAGCGUUAGUGACGGUAAUGAGUAAAGAAGCACCGGCUAACUACGUG
rnacentral:rRNA from 1 species